UCCCGCGAGACACUAACACCACCACCCCCCACCUUCUGUCUCUGUGCAUCUGACUCUGGGCCCCUCCGAUGAGCGGAAUCACCCGGUGUCUGUCUGUGUCUGGCUUGUUUCACGCGGCCUCAUGUCCUCCAGGUUCGUCCACGGUGUAGCACGUUUUGUGUUUUCGUGUGUUUUUUAAAGUCUCUCUCCCACAGGAGUGGGGCUCCGUGAGGGCAGGGCUUUGGGUUGGUUCAUUCACUGAAGCAUCCCCAGGGCCCGGAAGCUCCUGGCGCCCAGCAGGCGCUGAAUGAACAAAUGAACUCAGGAGUGAAUGAACGCGGGAAGGAAUGAAUGAACAUACGAAUGAAUGAUCUCAGGGGUGAACGAACUUAUGAACAAAGACACUGCAGAGACAUGGCACAUCUGUGGAAGAGUUAUCACACGGACACAGAGUCCCCAGCAGGGGACAUAACAGGGUGCCCCAGAGCCUCACGGUGGCCCCGUGCUGGGCGUGGCGGCCAGGACAGCCGGAGGCUCCUCCUCUCUGAAAACUCAUUUACUCGGGUUUCUGGGCCAGAGGAGCUUGGAAAGUCAAAGUCAGGUGAGCCCCUCGGCGCACACACGCGAGCCUGACGGGGCGACAGUGCUCCAGCCCAGCCACCCUGCC